rnacentral:rRNA from 1 species
UACGGAGGGGGCUAGCGUUGUUCGGAAUUACUGGGCGUAAAGCGCACGUAGGCGGCUUUGUAAGUUAGAGGUGAAAGCCCGGGGCUCAACUCCGGAAUUGCCUUUAAGACUGCAUCGCUAGAAUUGUGGAGAGGUAAGUGGAAUUCCGAGUGUAGAGGUGAAAUUCGUAGAUAUUCGCAAGAACACCAGUGGCGAAGGCGGCUUACUGGUCCGGUUCUGACGCUGAGGCGCGAAAGCGUGGGGAGCAAAACAGG